rnacentral:rRNA from 1 species
UACGUAGGCAGCGAGCGUUGUUCGGAGUUACUGGGCGUAAAGCGCGCGUAGGCGGCUUUGUAAGUUAGAGGUGAAAGCCCGGGGCUCAACCCCGGAACUGCCUUUAAAACUGCAUCGCUUGAAUCCGGGAGAGGUGAGUGGAAUUCCGAGUGUAGAGGUGAAAUUCGUAGAUAUUCGGAAGAACACCAGUGGCGAAGGCGACUGACUGGACAGAUAUUGACGCUGAGGUGCGAAAGCGUGGGGAGCAAACAGG